ACUCCUACGGGAGGCAGCAGUGGGGAAUAUUGCACAAUGGGCGCAAGCCUGAUGCAGCCAUGCCGCGUGUGUGAAGAAGGCCUUCGGGUUGUAAAGCACUUUCAGCGAGGAGGAAAGCUUAAGCGUUAAUAGCGUUUAGGUGUGACGUUACUCGCAGAAGAAGGACCGGCUAACUUCGUGCCAGCAGCCGCGGUAAUACGAGGGGUCCAAGCGUUAAUCGGAAUUACUGGGCGUAAAGCGUACGCAGGCGGUUUGUUAAGCGAGAUGUGAAAGCCCCGGGCUCAACCUGGGAACUGCAUUUCGAACUGGCAGACUAGAGUCUUGUAGAGGGGGGUAGAAUUUCAGGUGUAGCGGUGAAAUGCGUAGAGAUCUGAAGGAAUACCGGUGGCGAAGGCGGCCCCCUGGACAAAGACUGACGCUCAUGUACGAAAGCGUGGGGAGCAGACAGGAUUAGAUACCCUGGUAGUCCACGCCGUAAACGAUGUCUACUCGGAAUUUGGUGUCUUGAACACUGGGUUCUCAAGCUAACGCAUUAAGUAGACCGCCUGGGGAGUACGGCCGCAAGGUUAAAACUGAAAGGAAUUGACGG
rnacentral:rRNA from 1 species